AUGAAAUUCUCCGGUUGGAACCUUAUUGCUGAUUAAUGUUUAAAACACCCUAAAUAUAGAUUGCAUACAUCAUUUGACUUGUUUCUACGACCUGUAACGGAACUUUUUGAGUUUUUAUCUGGAGGAAUUGCUCGUGCUUUUUGAGGUUUGAACGCUGGGCUGAACAAGCGAUCAACAAGUGGCUAAAUGAUGGGCUUUAUGGAACAAAUCAGUAAUUUAUUGUUGAACUGGGAUUCCUGGAACUGCCUUCUGAUGAAGAUAUUCAAAGCAUGACCUGCAAGCAAAGCUACAGUUGCGUUACGGUGAGAUUGCAAAGAGGACCCUAACACCACCCAAACUUCCUGUUGGGCCCAG